CCCGCUGAACUUAAGCAUAUCGAUAAGCGGAGGAAAAGAAACUAACAAGGAUUCCCCUAGUAACUGCGAGUGAAGCGGGAAAAGCUCAAAUUUAAAAUCUGGCGGUCCCAUGGGCCGUCCGAGUUGUAAUCUGGAGAAGCGUUUUCCGCGUCGGACCGUGUACAAGUCUUCUGGAACGGAGCGUCAUAGAGGGUGAGAAUCCCGUCUCUGACACGGACAGCCGAUGCUUUAUGUGAUACGCUCUCGAAGAGUCGAGUUGUUUGGGAAUGCAGCUCAAAAUGGGUGGUAAAUUCCAUCUAAAGCUAAAUAUUGGCGAGAGACCGAUAGCGAACAAGUACCGUGAGGGAAAGAUGAAAAGCACUUUGGAAAGAGAGUUAAAAAGUACGUGAAAUUGUUGAAAGGGAAACGUUUGAAGUCAGUCGCGUUGGCCGAGACUCAACCCUGCCAUUUUUGCUGGGUGCAAUUCUCGGUAGACGGGUCAGCAUCAAUUUUGACCGUCGGAUAAAGGCCGAGGGAAGGUGGCAUCCUCCGGGGUGUGUUAUAGCCCUCGGUUCGCAUGCGACGGUUGGGCACUUGAUGAACUCUGCACGCUCUUCAUUGGUCGGGGCUUCGGCUCACGUUAACGUGCCUAGGAUGCUGGAGUACUGGCUUUCAGCGACGCCGUCUUGAAACACG
rnacentral:rRNA from 1 species